rnacentral:rRNA from 1 species
CCCUUAGAUGUCCUGGGCCGCACGCGUGCUACACUGAUGCAUACAGCGAGUACUCCCAGCUCCGAGAGGCUGCUGGUAAUCAGCAAUAUGCAUCGUGAUGGGGAUAGAUCUUUGGAAUUAUAGAUCUUGAACGAGGAAUUCCUAGUAAUCGCAGGUCAUCACCCUGCGUUGACUAAGUCCCUGCCCUUUGUACACACCGCCCGUCGCUCCUACCGAUUUCGAGUGAUCCGGUGAAUCAUUCGGACCGCGGCCCCUAGGCACGCGGAAAGUCUAGUAAACCAUAUCACUUAGAGGAAGGAGAAGUCGUAACA